rnacentral:rRNA from 1 species
GAUGAACGCUGGCGGCGUGCCUAAUACAUGCAAGUCGAGCGAACAGACGAGGAGCUUGCUCCUCUGACGUUAGCGGCGGACGGGUGAGUAACACGUGGAUAACCUACCUAUAAGACUGGGAUAACUUCUGGAAACCGGAGCUAAUACCGGAUAAUAUAUUGAACCGCAUGGUUCAAUAGUGAAAGACGGUUUUGCUGUCACUUAUAGAUGGAUCCGCGCCGCAUUAGCUAGUUGGUAAGGUAACGGCUUACCAAGGCAACGAUGCGUAGCCGACCUGAGAGGGUGAUCGGCCACACUGGAACUGAGACACGGUCCAGACUCCUACGGGAGGCAGCAGUAGGGAAUCUUCCGCAAUGGGCGAAAGCUUGACGGAGCAACGCCGCGUGAGUGAUGAAGGUCUUCGGAUCGUAAAACUCUGUUAUUAGGGAAGAACAAAUGUGUAAGUAACUAUGCACGUCUUGACGGUACCUAAUCAGAAAGCCACGGCUAACUACGUG